GAGGGAAAGGCGAAAAGGACUUUGAAAAGAGAGUCAAAGAGUGCUUGAAAUUGU
rnacentral:rRNA from 1 species